UACGAAGGGGGCUAGCGUUGCUCGGAAUCACUGGGCGUAAAGCGCACGUAGGCGGCUUCUUAAGUCAGGGGGGAAAUCCUGGAGCUCAACUCCAGAACUGCCUUUGAUACUGAAGAUCUUGAGUUCGGGAGAGGUGAGUGGAACUGCGAGUGUAGAGGUGAAAUUCGUAGAUAUUCGCAAGAACACCAGUGGCGAAGGCGGCUCACUGGCCCGAUACUGACGCUGAGGCACGAAAGCGUGGGGAGCAAACAGG
rnacentral:rRNA from 1 species